rnacentral:rRNA from 1 species
AUUGAACGCUGGCGGCAGGCCUAACACAUGCAAGUCGAACGAGUGGCGGACGGGUGAGUAAUGUAUGGGAAACUGCCUGAUGGAGGGGGAUAACUACUGGAAACGGUAGCUAAUACCGCAUACCAUCAGAUGAUCCCAUAUGGGCUUGGCUAGUAGGUGGGGUAAAGGCUCACCUAGGCGACGCUCCCUAGCUGUUCUGAGAGGAUGACCAGCCACACUGGAACGGCGACACGGUCCAGACUCCUACGGGAGGCAGCAGUGGGGAAUAUUGCACAAUGGGCGCAAGCCUGAUGCAGCCAUGCCGCGUGUAUGAAGAAGGCCUUAGGGUUGUAAAGUACUUUCAGCGGGGAGGCGUUACCCGCAGAAGAAGCACCGGCUAACUCCGUGCCAGCAGCCGCGGUAAUAC